CUGGGACCAUGCCUUUCGCCUCGCACAGCAAAACAGACUUUUGUUUCUGUGGCUUGGACACUGGAUACACAUGUACUGUAGGCUCUAUGACCUUGUCUUUGUCAUUCCCAUCUGCAUUUUUAGAAGACAUGCUUUGAAGAUUCCCAGAGCAAGAAGUUCAAUAUAUUAUCAAGUAAGAAGACAAAACAGAAACAGCUAAAUGUGCUCAUACCAGUGACGAUAAGCCGAGUUCCAGAUCCAAAAGUUUUGUCGUCCACUGUGACUCAGACUACACCAAAUACUUCAAAACAAUUCGACAUCCAAACACGUUUUUAUAAGGUCUAUAUUCUGGGAACAGAAUAUUUAUUUAUCUGACAUUAUUUGGAAUUUUUCUCUCCUAGCAUUGUUUUCUCUCUUUUUAAAGGUUUUUUUUUUUUUUUCUCCUUUUUGAAAUU